GACGAACGCUGGCGGCGUGCCUAAUACAUGCAAGUCGAACGCUUUUUCUUUCACUGAGACUUGUCUCACCGAAAGAAAAAGAGUGGCGAACGGGUGAGUAACACGUGGGUAACCUGCCCUCGAGAAGGGGAUAACACUUGGAAACAGGUGCUAAUACCGUAUAACAAUAACUGCCGCAUGGCAGGUAUUUGAAAGGCGCUUUUGCGUCACUCGAGGAUGGACCCGCGGUGCAUUAGCUAGUUGGUGAGGUAACGGCUCACCAAGGCGACGAUGCAUAGCCGACCUGAGAGGGUGAUCGGCCACACUGGGACUGAGACACGGCCCAGACUCCUACGGGAGGCAGCAGUAGGGAAUCUUCGGCAAUGGACGAAAGUCUGACCGAGCAACGCCGCGUGAGUGAAGAAGGUUUUCGGAUCGUAAAACUCUGUUGUUAGAGAAGAACAAGGAUGAGAGUAGAACGUUCAUCCCUUGACGGUAUCUAACCAGAAAGCCACGGCUAACUACGUGCCAGCAGCCGCGGUAAUACGUAGGUGGCAAGCGUUGUCCGGAUUUAUUGGGCGUAAAGCGAGCGCAGGCGGUUCUUUAAGUCUGAUGUGAAAGCCCCCGGCUCAACCGGGGAGGGUCAUUGGAAACUGGAGAACUUGAGUGCAGAAGAGGAGAGUGGAAUUCCAUGUGUAGCGGUGAAAUGCGUAGAUAUAUGGAGGAACACCAGUGGCGAAGGCGGCUCUCUGGUCUGUAACUGACGCUGAGGCUCGAAAGCGUGGGGAGCAAACAGG
rnacentral:rRNA from 1 species